AUGUAGAUGAAGUCAAACUAUUGGGGACAAAAGUGAGAGAAAAAUCUGUUGAGAGCUGGAGUGACCUCCUAUGCACUAAUGUUAUUGCAAAGGACUCUGGGGAGCUCCAGUCAACAAAAGUGCUCUCUGAUUUCUGUGGUCAGACUGCAGGAAGCUGGAGAUCACAAAUAGGCUAGUUGCAGCGUGUUUGUUCCAGUAAAUCCUUUGUAAGGCAGGCACAGAGAGACUCUGGGUUGAGGUAAGUGCAGUCCUUGCCCCAGCCUAGUGCUGAUAGCAGUUCCUUUAAUGUUGUGCUCAGUUGCAGUGGUCAUGGACCAGAACCCCUU